AGUUUACUGUGAAUUCGCUAAUUUCAGUUCAGACUUGGGGGUUUUUGAGGUUCGAUUUGGUUUGCAAUUAAUUGAAGAAAGUUGGUACAGGUCAUUGAAAAGGCAUCUACAGAUGGGAGGAAAUCGAUGAUUGCAGUGGUGUUUGUCUUGAUUUGUUGGAAGGACUGAAUUCAAGCCAAGGAUUCAGUUAGAAGAGCAAGGAAAUAACCGGUGGUAUAUUGAACCUGCUAGUAUCAAGAGAAGAAAAGAAAGCUUGUCCACUACAAGCCUUGGGUUGGAGUUUGUGUGUAUAUGGAGGAUUCAUGGAAUUUCAGUUGCGUUGUGGGUGUUGUAAAGAAGUGGUGUUUGCUGUGUGGAAUGUGUCUGAAAUUGGGUCGAAUUGAUUUCAGUUCUUUGAUCUUUGAAUUCUCGAACUGAUAAUGAAUGGUGGUCUGUAAUUGAUGAUGUUGAGGCUAGAAUGGAGCUGUCGUGGAGGGUUUUGACAUUAAAUGGAGGACGUGGAUUACACAACAACAUCGACGGGUUUCUGGCUUUGGAGGGCAAUUAACAGCAACAGGGAGAAGAUGGUACUGGCAGCGAGAAUAAUUGGUUUUCUGUGGUUUAUGGUGGUGGUUGUUAAGAUAUGAAGAGGGUCAGAGAAUGGAAAUUGUACCUCAUAGUCAGUCUGCGAAGAGGAUGGAAGCAAACAAAGAAAGGGUGCGUGUGUUGGAUGUAUAGAGCUCAGCUCUGAAAUGGGUGUUGUUGAGUUUACAAAGACAGAGGAAAGAAGAUGAGUGUUGAAUGUUAAGUCAGCGGGCUAUGAUGGUUGCUGAUGUUUACAUUGACUGAAUUGUGAGAAAUUACAGGAAGAGUGCUGUUUCUAUUUAGUCAAAUACAGGCAACUGAUUGUGGUAUCUUUAGGCAGAAACAGGAGGAAGACCGAAUGAAGAGAUGAAUAUGGGUUGGUUCAGGACUUUUUGGCAUGAAUAUAAGACUAAUUUGUCGAGCUAGAAGUCAGAGAAGAAGUCAAGUUGUUGCUGUAUAAAAGGAGAAGAAGAACCAGCCAAGAGGGUAAGCUGGAAUAUCACAAUUUGUUCUUUAGUUUUCUAAUUAGUACAGUGUUUAGUUCUCUUGUAUAUUAGAGUUUUCUACUGAAUAUUUUUCUAUGGCUAUCUACACAACAAUGAGAAGCUAAACCUCUCUCUGCCAAGACUAGAGGGGAAGCUCAAUGGGUUCAAGUAUUCUUUACAGUGAUCAUAAAUUAAUUCCAAGUUUUAAUCCA